rnacentral:rRNA from 1 species
AUUGAACGCUGGCGGCAUGCUUUACACAUGCAAGUCGAACGGUAACAGGUUAAGCUGACGAGUGGCGAACGGGUGAGUAAUGCAUCGGAACGUGCCCGAUCGUGGGGGAUAACGCAGCGAAAGCUGCGCUAAUACCGCAUACGAUCUGAGGAUGAAAGCGGGGGACCGUAAGGCCUCGCGCGAUCGGAGCGGCCGAUGUCAGAUUAGGUAGUUGGUGGGGUAAAGGCCCACCAAGCCGACGAUCUGUAGCUGGUCUGAGAGGACGAACAGCCACACUGGGACUGGGACGCGGCCCAGACGCCGACGGGAGGCAUCAGUGGUGAAUUUUGGACAAUGGGCGAAAGCCUGAUCCAGCAAUGCCGCGUGCAGGAAGAAGGCCUUCGGGUUGUAAACUGCUUUUGUACGGAGCGAAAAGGUCCUUUCUAAUCCAAGGGGCUCAUGACGGUACCGUAAGAAUAAGCACCGGCUAACUACGUGCCAGCCGCCGCGUAA